AUCAGGGCGUUCCGGAAAAGGACUGUUCUUCUCAGUAAUUAGUUGCACUGAAAAAUAAGUGGGAAAAUAAACCAGUUUUAUUCAAAAUGCUGUGACGAUUGAAGCAAUUAAUUAAUGCUCACCUUUUUUUAGGAGUUAUAUUUAACUGGCCAGGCUAAAUAAUAAAAAGGGAACACAAGCUCCAGAGAAUACUGUCAAUCAUCUUCUGCUGUUGGCAGAUGCAGAGUGUGUACCCUGUGGUCAUUUGGCCUUCAUCUCAGGGCCAAAGUGUCCCUAUCACUUAUUCCUUAGGGUAGAGACCGGCCCCUUCUUGACCUACAACGACAUCUGUGGAUACAAAAAGGAGCACACGCAUUCCCUAGGGUCCUCUUUUAACGAUGACCACAACAAGCCCCAUGCUAAUGAUGAGCCAACCAUGUGCACAUGCGGGAGGCAAUUACAGCAGAACCAUGAAGCAUGUACUGAAGUGGGUACAUCUGAUUGUGUAUCCUGAUUUGUUUACACUGGGCCAUCUGAGAAGAUGUCAUUUUAAAUGUUUGGGAAAGGGCAGGCACUUAAAAAAAAUGUAUUUGCAUCUCUCAAGCAAUCUCUUACCCAAGCCAGUUAGAGUGGAAACGUCUUUCUCAAUAAAGAACCUUUCUGUGUCUUCUCGGCUCCUCUUUUAAUGAAGAAAUACGCUCCAGUUCGGAUGGAACUGAUGCCAUGGCGGCAGCCAUUGUUGUGGAAUUUUCAAUAAAACCAGUUGGGGAGAAGAGAAUGUUUGUUUGAUUUCUUUCAAAGUUGCAAAAGUCCUUUUAUUGCUUGCAAGCAGGAGGUCAAAUACACCAGCACGUAUUACGGUACUCUGUGGAGAUGGCGUCUCCGAGCAGUCAAAACGUUGAUCUUUUAUACACACAGACGAAGGCCAUCCUCAGUGGCAGGUAUGAAAAAUUGCAAAAAAAAGUUGACAAGAACCAAGGUUAAGAUGAGGGUAGUGAGCAAGUUGACUCGCCCUCCUUUCUUCAGACACAGCUGCAAAUAGAAACUUUGAAUCAUGCUGCUUUUCACACGUUAAACUUCAAUACAGACAAUUAUCACUUUCUCGUGUAAUGACGUAUUACCAGCAACGAGAGUUGAUGUGAGGAUCUAACUGACACUAAGGAAGAAAAGUUAACAUUUGAUUGGAGACACAAUAACAAACUCUGGAAAUUAAAGGAAAACUCACAAUAUUUGAUGACAUAUGAAGGAAUGUACUAGUUGGCAACAAAUGUUCCAAAAUUGAAGGAAACAUGUAAACUAAAAAUGAAUUGCAUUAAAGCAAAAUGUAUUCUAGUUGUUGGCAAAUGGUAAUAUGAAAAUCUACAUCUCAGCAAACCUUAAGAAGCAUUUGCAGCACAAAAAAACAGCCACAACUUGAUGUUUACUUUUAUCACCUUUCUUGGAAGGACCUUUGAUAAUGCCCAAUAACUUUUAUUACAUUAUGCCAAGUGCUUUAGUUGUCAUAUUCCAACAGAGUUCACAGCUGGUUGUGAAAUGCAGCAUUGAUUCUUCCUAAGAAGGGAGGGUUUAAGGGUUACAGAUAUUGUAACCCAAAAGCACAACUCUGAGGCAGAAUUCAAUCUAAAGUUCUUUACUUAUACAGGCAGGGUCAAAACUGGGAUAGCAGUCCAAUGGGCAAACAAAUCCAGAGGGGCAGCCAGGAAAUCCGUAAACUGGGACAGGCAGGGUUCAGAAACAGAACGGCGAUCCGACAGGCAAACAAAUCCAAUAAGAGGGCAGGCGAAGAGUUUGUGGUGUCACGGUGUGGUGCACUUCCUGUCUUAUUUUGUAGUUUUCUGCCACUCGUGUCCCCGGGUAACUUCACUUCCUGCCUGGUCCUGUCAUCCCCUGUGAUUGUCGGAUUGUUUCCACCUGUGUCCAAUCACGUGCACCUCCAGAGUGGGUUUGUCACUUGUGGCGUCAUUGUCUCUUGUCACGAAGUCCCUGUCUAUCGUCGUGGAUGUUCCCUGUUCCUGCGUGCCUUUUUGCCCCCAGUUUUUGUGUGUUUUUGCCCAUUGUCCUUUUGCUUUUGACGUCUGCUUUUGAGUCCUGCCUUCCCCACGCAUCCCCUGACACGUGGUCAAGAGAAGGCAGGCUAGGUCAGGAUGGGAUAUCUGUAAUCGGAAAACGCUGGAAAACUUUGCAUGCACACAAGACAAUCUGGCAGAGGACAAGUGGGGGGGACCUAUGUAGUGAGGGACUAACGAGGGAAUGGGUUGCAGUCGGGAAGGGCAUGAGGACCAGGUGAAGAGAAUGAGGUGAUUUCUUAUUGAGGACAGGAUCUGGAAUGACUGAGUAGAGUUAAUUGACUAGAACGCAGGCAGGAAAAAAAGUAAUAAGAUGGAGAAUUCGUGACAGAGGGGGCCUUAGUUAUGGAGUGGGGACUGGAGGCGUUGGGGGCACGAGUCGUGGAGCCGGAUCGGGAGGGCGCUCCGGCCCAGCGUGGAGGGAGUACGUGGCCUGGAGAUGGGCCGUGAGGUGCAUCACCUGCUCCCCGUAUGAUCCGGCAAUUGGAGACCUAGAGAUGGCCUCCACCUCCGGAGGCAAAGUGGUGACCGGAGGGCGCGGAGAACGGUGACCCGAACGCCUUCCGGGGGCUCUGGGAGAGCAGACUGCGUCCACCAGGAAUCCAGCUGGUGAUCCAGGGCAAGCGUUUUCCCCAAAACUGGCAAAGCUCUCAAUCUACCGGUCAAUCUUCGUUCCUACGCUCACCUAUGUUCAUGAAGAUUGGGUCACGGGUACAAGCGGCCGAAAUGGGUUUCCUCUGGAGAGUGGCUGGCGUCUCCCUUAGAGAUAGGUUGAGGAGCUUGGAGUAGAGCCGCUGCUCCUUUGCGUCGAAAGGAGCCAGUUGAGGUGGUUUGGGGAUCUGGUGAGGAUGCCCCCUGGGCGCCUCCCUAGGGGGGUGUUCCAGGCACGGCCAGCUGGGAAGACCCUAGGUGGAGAGAUUAUAUCUCUACACUGACCUGGGAACGCCUUGGGAUCCCCCAGUCAGAGCUGGUAGAUGUGGCCCAGGAAAGGGAAGUUUGGGGUCCCUGCUGGAGCUGUUGCCCCAGCGACCUGACCCCGGAUAGUAUUGGACCUAGCUGAGGAAGAGGUCCUCGCUGUCUCCGGAUGUUCCGAGUAGCAAUGUAUAAGUCUUCUCUAAGGGAACUCUUGAGGUUUGUGAUUGAUUGUACUCGAUGGCUGAAAACAUCAAACAAAAUAACAAAUUUAAAAAGGUUGAAAAACAAAGGCUUCAACCCAACUAUUGGAUGGGAAAGUUGCGCACCUGGCCAAAUUGGCGAAUUUUUUUUUUGACAAAACACUUACAGCUGCUGGACAUUCAUCAAUGUGUCAACCAUGCAGUAUAGUAUGUAUCUACUUUGAAGUAAAAUGCAUUGCACAUGGUGAGAAAGAUACCAAUGAGCUGAAGACACUAUAUGAAAAAUAAAAAAAAUAAACAUCCCAUAAGUCAGAAGAAAUUGCUGCAGCACACACGUAAUUGUCCUUCAUUCAGGCCAUCUUAGCAAGUGACAAUCAAGUGGGGGUUUGGCUAUAAAUUGCUUUUUUAGCUGGCUGUGAAAAGAGCAUUGUAUCGCUGUGGGUGUGCUUUCUCCAUUAAUUUGAUCCGUUCCGCAGGACAAUUAGUUUCACAUCUUAGGAGGGUAACGUAAAAUAGAUUACCGCUCAGUCUUCGUGGGGGAAUUAUAGAGCUCCAAUAGAAGACAGAAACGAUCACAUAAACACAAUGCCAACGAUCGGAGAUGUACUUACCAAGCACUUAAGUUGCUGAACUUUUACAAAUUUUAACACACACACGCUAAUCAUAUCCUUGUGGAUAUUACAGUAGCUAAGCAACAUGUGAUCUUGUGUGUUAAUUUACAUAAUGAUAAAUGUAAAUGAAACUCCAUUGCAUAGUUGUGAAAUAUAUGUAACCUUUUAUUUAAUAACUGGAUCAUUGUUGUGACGCAAUGAUGAAAAAGAUGCACUGGUGCAAACAUAUCCCAACUUGUUGUCACUCCAGUGAGUCAAACAGCUUGGUCAGCGGCAUUGACUUUGAAAACUACUGCUAAUAUACACUUGACUUUUACUUUCACAUUAGGACAUGAACAGGAGUCUACUGGAUGAUCCACCCACCUCCUUUUUUCCCUGUCUUCUUUGGACUCAUUUGCACCAGGUUGCUCCGCUAGUAUCGAUCAUAAACGUGUCAUUUUUAAGUUCUUUUCACUGCCCAUAGGUUGGUCACUUGUGUAAACAGUGUCACACAAGAUUCUAGAUACGGUAUUAUCCAUUCCAUUUAGAGAUGAUUAGGUUGAGAUGUUGAAAGAAAUGGUGGAUUAUCAAAUCAAAUUCACCCGCAGUCCUCUCCAGUGGGUAAAGUUUUAGGUUUAGCAUAUGUAAUCUACUAAACCAGUUAUAUGCUCAAACUUGUUUCAUCACUAUCGAGGAAAUGCAUAAAACAUCCAACUAUUCGGAGCUUGUGCUUUUGACAGCAUUGCGAGCAAAGUAAAGACCAACGCAAACCUCUGUCUAAUUGAUUCUCCUCGGUCAAACUACGGCAUGCUCACAGAAAUACUCCUGGCUCACUGCUUUUUGUAUUCUGCAACUAACAAUUAGACACAGUUUCCUUCUACAAAUAAGGUAUAAAGUGCAUCACAUCAAUUACAUUCAGACUUCUGUCACAAAGGCGCUGGGGAGCUUGAAACAAACUUUACUGCUUCAGGCACAGAUUUUUCCUUUCACAGCAACAUCUCAUCCAGGACUGGGCAAAUGGCUCCAAGGGCUCAUAGUCAAUACAUUUGAGCAUUACUGAGGGGAUGAGCAAAUUCACUGAAUCCUGCAUCAAAAACAUUGCUCCACAUCUACAGUGUUUUAUGAGUGCAAGUAGGCUGCUCAAUACCCUGACAGACAUUACACAUAGUUGCCUGCCCUGAACAGGACGGGAUGUGCGGUAUUAUGACUGGAUGAGCUAAUCCACAUGGUAAAACAGUAAAGAUUUAUCACUGGCGACGCAUGGAGUAGAGAGGGUGCGCCCUUAACCACAAGGCGGUUUGAGCCCCGGCUGCUCCAUGUCCCAUGUCGAUUUGUCCUCCCUGAGCAAAAUGUAAAAAAAAAGCCAUGGGUUAAAAAUGCAAUGUAAGUCGCUUUGGAUAAACGCGUCAGCUAAAUUACCUGUAAUGUAAUCACUGAAUGUUUGCUAGGCCAGUCGGGCGUUUUGUAUUCUGCAAGACCACAAAAGCUGCAUCUUUACAACUCCAACUUCUAAUGCAUAGAUUAGUGAGGAGAGAACAGAGCAGUUUUCUCAUUUGCCGGCGGAAAUUACACCGAUUUGCUGGGGGAUUCUUCCAGAAACAAACCCCUAAAACCAUUUUGUUUUAUGUUUUAGUAUUGCUGGCUCGGAUGUUAAUGGAAACAAGAGGCAACCUGUAUCCAGCCCUGCAAUUUUCAAUUCGGCCGCAGGAGUCUCAUCAGUGGGGAUAUUCCCAGGAAGCGAGAAGCGCUGUCUCCACAACAGCUGCAAUAAAUUCACCUCACGUUGACAAGAACCGAAGGCAUUUCACUUGGUCACAUUGAUCCAUGUGGCCGGCCAGGUACAAUGACCCUUGUGUUCGUGCUGGUGGAGGGGCCUGCGUAGAAGAACAGGAGACUGAAUUGGGUCUCUCAGGACGUAAUUGGUCAAGAUUGACAGAUUUUGCUACUUGGAGAAGUUUUUCAGGGCCAGUAAAGGUUUGCAUGUCGGCCGGUACAUGACAUUCUCCAGCGUGCUGUCUAAAAUGUGGUAUGCAGCCCAUAUUUUGUUUGAUACACUACUACUGUAUUUUUAAUAGUUUCCUUUUUUAUACUAGUGAAACGUCUCCACUCUAUAGAUACUACAGCUUUGAAUAGGACUCCUGCAGGUAUGUUUUUCUAAUACCAUGUCUCCAUUUCCUUCUUGUUAACGCACUACCAAAUAUUUUCUAACACAGUUCAAAUUGUCUUUGACGAGAUUAAAACAUUUAAAAAUAUGUCCACAUACACACACACCUGAUAGUUCCCUAGAUCGAACUCUACAGACAGAGUGACCCGACUUAGAUGAAACAAGGUCUUUGAACAUGGCGAGUCACUCUUCAGCAUGUGUCACUGGGCACAAGGCAGCCAAUGACUGCGGCAAUUGAUUUCCAGCUGAUACUCAAGUGGCUCACCGUGAGAGAUGACCUGUCAGUGCGGCUCGAGGGAGCAUCUCCAGCGAGGCAUCAUGUAGGAAGACUCAUGCGUGAGAUGGCGGGUAGACGGGGACAGGAGAUCCUGAGUUGAGCCUGUUGGGAAGCCAAUCUCAUGAAUAGCCCCGGGCGAAUGAGCGCUUGUUAACAAGCCAAGCUGGCAGGUCUCGGUAAGUCAAACUUUUAAAUUUGUUAAAGUUUGUGUGUAUAAGUUAACGCUUUAGAAUACAAUUCAUCUCAUGUACUAGACGAGGGUCCCAAAUGGAUUGGGGAUGGAUACACUGUACAGAACUUUAAUUCUAACCUUAUUAUCUAUCAUGAGUCCAAAAGAAUGUUCACAAAUAAGCAAUAUCACAGCCUCUUUUGCCGCACUAGACAAAAGCGUCAAUAGUCUCUGGAGGGCUAGCUCUCAUCGGAGACGCUGCCUGCUCACGCCACCACUCGCCAGGGACCAGAAACUGUCUUCUUGGAUCUUGGAAGCGUGAGCCACAUGUCUGCUUGGAAGCAAGACAUUUUUCUCAGUACAAAUGACGUGGCGAUUUAUUGCUAUUUUGUCGGCCUCUUGCCCGAAAGGUGCAAAGAUGUUGGCUAUACUCUGGUGCUGUUAGAGCGACGAUAGGAUCUAAGCGAAGUUGUUGAAAUAUAGUGCGGUGUCACGGUCGUCAGGGGCAUAGCCUUUUGUAUCAUCAAAAGGGUAAAUGAGAUCUUAGAAUUCAGUCACACACUCUGGAAAAGUCAAUACAGCUGAGAGCCUUUGGUAAAAGAUAUUUUCACUUGUGACAGUAUGAGGAUUAACUUUCCCUUCACUGGAAAUCCACUGACACAUACACCACCAUGCUGGUAUUCUUUCAACUAAAUACAGUCGCGCAGUUUCUUCAUACUAUCAGACAAUUUGGAAAUACCAGGUAUUUAGAGGCUAAAACCCUAGUUGCGGACUAUGAAUGGCUUCAUUCCUAAUAUAAGUCUGUUCUUUGUUUCAUUCCAUUUCUGAUCUUUCCUAUUGCAAUCCAGAGACUGAUGUUUAAUACGUGGAAAUCCUUCAGACUCAACAAGUUUGUAAGUAGGCGAUCCGUGUAAAUAACAUUUAGCCAUGUGUGUCCCCUGGGAUAAUAUCAUUUCUGAUCCCUGAUCAGUUUAGUCACUGACUGAUCUGUGUGAGCGAGAGACAAAAAAACUUGUCUCGUUACAUUGAUUCAGUCUUAGAUCUUGAAAUAUUCAUCCAUUAAUAAUUUACUGUAUUAAUAGAUAUACCAUACACUUAUUAAAUAGUGUUAUUAAAUUGUUUAAAUUAUUAAUAAUUUGAAAUCAUUGCCGCUCGGGCAUGUUCACUAUGUACACAACAAUCAGAUAGAUAGAUCUAUCUAUUUUGGCUGAACACCUGUGAUGAGGGAACUGCAGGUGAGUUGCUGCAACAAUAUAUCAACUGCCAUCUUUUAGUUUGGCAGUGAAUAUAUACUGUUGUGCCACAUAAUUAGUAAGGCCCAUUAUCAGGUCUGUACAAUCAGUCACUCACUGCAGCGUCAUUACAGAUGUAUAGAUUAAAUGAUUAGCUGUUACAACAAAUUUAAAUAAAAGUUGUUAUUCUUUUGCACUUACCAAACAGGUGUAGGUAUGAGAAGGAUGGUAAAUACGACAGAUACCUCCAGUUAAGAGCUUCAAAGACUGCAAUUAAUAAUACAACACUAGUCUAAUAUAAAUACGUUAAAUGUUGGACUUGUGUCACGAUUGCAUGGUUGCACCACCUUAUUAUUAAGUUGGAUAUAAAUUGGGAUUUUCAUAAAAGUCAGCUUCCUGGUUGUAUUAGGACUUGAAUUUUGAACGUGACAUUAGAAUGCCUGCUGGACCGCAGAGGAUCAACCCUGAUUAGCAUGUCGCCUGGGAAAAAACUGACAGAUUGCAAUCAGAUUUGUGAUCAGGCUAAGUGUAGAGUAAGUUGUUUUGAAUUAGUCUGGAUUUUAUAUGGAUGGAGGACACUUGAAAAGGACAGGGGUAAUUGGGGCCAAACAGUGUGUCUAGUAAAGGCCUCAGUCUGCUUCAAAUAAAGCGUCAGUCAGUCUAACGGCAUCUGAACUGACCCAGUAAAAUGUGCGGAGGUGUGAAAGCUGCCAGGGUCUGAACUUACUCAAGCUCCUUUCUCCCCCCCCAUUCUACACACAACUACUUUUAGUGUGUAUAACCAAGCGCAACACUCCCAAAAUGUGGGUGCCCCCGUCACCUUUUUUGAUGAUUGAAAGCCUGCACCCUCUAAAAACU
ensembl:lncRNA